CGCUGGCUGUGCGUGGGAGGCCUGGUGGGAGUUUUUGUUUGGUAUUUGCUGCGAGUGUGUGUGUGUGUGUGUGUGUGUGUGUGUGUGUGUGUGUGUGUGUGUGUGUGUGUGUGUUGUGUGUGUGUGAGGGAACUGAUAACUUUUCACAGCUGACAACAGUCAGCGAUUGGAGCAGUAAUAGAGAUAUCAGCCAAAGCCAUCAUGUCCACUGUAGUGGAAUACACAUCCACAUGGAUGCGUGUGGUGCCGCGCGCGUGCACGUGG